AGAGUUUGAUCCUGGCUCAGAUUGAACGCUGGCGGCAGGCUUAACACAUGCAAGUCGAACGGAAACAGGAAGUAGCUUGCUACUUUGCUGUCGAGUGGCGGACGGGUGAGUAAUGCUUGGGAACAUGCCUUUAGGUGGGGGACAACAGUUGGAAACGACUGCUAAUACCGCAUAAUAUCUUCGGAUCAAAGUGGGGGACCUUCGGGCCUCACGCCUAGAGAGUGGCCCAAGUGGGAUUAGCUAGUUGGUAAGGUAAUGGCUUACCAAGGCGACGAUCCCUAGCUGGUCUUAGAGGAUGACCAGCCACACUGGAACUGAGACACGGUCCAGACUCCUACGGGAGGCAGCAGUGGGGAAUAUUGCACAAUGGAGGAAACUCUGAUGCAGCCAUGCCGCGUGUGUGAAGAAGGCUUUCGGGUUGUAAAGCACUUUCAGUGGGGAGGAAAGGUUGCUGUUUAAUAGACAGUAGCUGUGACGUUACCCACAGAAGAAGCACCGGCUAACUCCGUGCCAGCAGCCGCGGUAAUACGGAGGGUGCGAGCGUUAAUCGGAAUUACUGGGCGUAAAGCGUACGUAGGUGGUUAAUUAAGUCAGAUGUGAAAGCCCAGGGCUCAACCCUGGAACUGCAUUUGAAACUGGAUAACUAGAGUUUUGUAGAGGGUGGUAGAAUUUCAGGUGUAGCGGUGAAAUGCGUAGAGAUCUGAAGGAAUACCAGUGGCGAAGGCGGCCACCUGGACAAAGACUGACACUGAGGUACGAAGGCGUGGGGAGCAAACGGGAUUAGAUACCCCGGUAGUCCACGCAGUAAACGAUGUCUAUUAGAAGUUUGUGGCUAUAUGCCGUGGGUUUCAAAGCUAACGCAUUAAAUAGACCGCCUGGGGAGUACGGCCGCAAGGUUAAAACUCAAAUGAAUUGACGGGGGCCCGCACAAGCGGUGGAGCAUGUGGUUUAAUUCGAUGCAACGCGAAGAAC
rnacentral:rRNA from 1 species